CACUUUUUUAAUGCGCAUGCGCGACCCUCUGGCAAGUGUCAUGCACAUUUUUUAUCAGGAAAAAGAUAGGGAAAUGCAAAAUUUUGGCAGUAAAACGGCGAUUUUAAGCGCAGUAAACGAUCUAUCUUCAUUUUGUGCACGAAUUUUGCAAAUAAAUGGCACACUGCGUCUUCUUAGCAAAAGGGAAUUGAACGAAUACCAUUUUUAACGGCGAAAAUGAGAAAAGACACCCGAAGGAGUGAGAAUUUCUGGCAAUCUGAAGAUUCGAUUCUGUAGACCUGAACUCCAGCUGGAACUUGGCAACUUUAUAUGUGAGUUUUUUUUCUCUAGCUCAUAUAUAUCAAAUUAUCAAUAUAUUUUUGUCAAGUGCAAUGUUGUAUCAAAGGGUUGUCGUUAAUUUAAACAUUGCAUAAACAACAUCCAGAUACGAAAAUGAACAUCAACAUUCAACAUGGACUGAUGGAGUCAAGGACAUGGAGCCACAGUACUCUAGUACUACUAUAUUUAACUUAUAUGUUGACCCAGUGUUGGGGGAUUGGUCAAAUUAUACUUUAUAGUGAUUCCCCUAGAUUAGUGCAUUGGUUAUUGUGCAAUGACAACCUUUUUUCAGAGACCUCUCAAAGGUCAAUUUCUCAGACAUGCCAAGUCACUGUACAUGUUUAAUAAUCUAAUCUGUUUAUUUAUUUUGUUUAUUUUUCUAGAUUGCCAAUCAUUCCUGUUGAACUACAUUAUUCAUUUCAAUGAAUCAGAUGCAGAAUCUUACAACUAUGGUUAAUUUGUUCAAAUUUGUUCACCUGAUUGGGGAAAACCUGACACUAUUUGAUCUUAUUAGUUAUUGGAAUGCCUAUCAAAUUUACAUAGCCUCAGGCAAUGUUUAUAUAAUUCAUCUCGAGUAAUAGAGAUGCUGUACCCCCUGAGGGAGUGACCCUACUACCUGGAUCAUCUCACUAGGCAAGACAGGUUCAAAACUUUCCAUGCAUUUAACACUUGCAUGGCAGUUGCUAUAAUAGGAUAUGAUAGUUGCUAUAAUAGGAUAAUAUAAUUUUGCCUUGCCAGGGUGGCUCAGGGGAUAGGAUUUCCCUAGUACCUGGAGACCAUAUAAACAGGCCUUCAGAUUACUGUAAUAGUUUACUGUAAUGGAGGGUUAAAAAAGCACCCCCCCCCCAUGUAAAAGUGCAUGGUAGGCCUGCUCCCCAAUCCAGCCCCCCUUGGAAGAUGUACUGCAGUAAAGCUAGACAAUUUUACUUGUUAACCCAUUGAGUCACUUUGCGCCCUACUUUAUUAUUUUACUCUGUCUAUUGUCUAACACCAGACGAUCCAGUUAACCUAUUGAGUUACAUUGUGCCCUGAUGCACCCUACUUUAUUAUUUUACUCUGUCUAACGCCAGACGAUUUUACUUGUCAAGGGGAGAGCACACUUUAACAGGGAAAGGAUUAAUUGGGAAUACUUUCUCUAAACUAUUUAUCAAUGAAAGGAACAAUGCAAUUAUUCAUAGUAUGUAACUUUUUAGAUAAAGCAAAGACUGUAGGAGGAAACAUGGAUCAUUGGCUACUUUUUUUAUUUAGUAUUAAUUUCCAUGACAGCAUGUGGGGUCAACUAUAAAGGAAACAGUUAUUGCCUAUUUUGGAAUAAAAAAUUUAGAAUAUAGCAAUAUUCAUUGACAUUGAACACAUAUUUAUUUAGUUUUUGAAUAAUUUAAGUUCUUAAAUGUAUAUAAAUGUGAAAUAAAAUAAACAACAUUUAUU